rnacentral:lncRNA from 1 species
AAAUUAUCAUUCUUGAUGAAUCUUCCUGCAAGAGGAUAGAAAUCAACCAAGAUUCUGGCCAGUGAUUCUUCCAACUGGUGAGAAUCUUCCGGUUUCGAUUCGUAAAACAAAAAAACACAAAUAUUCUGCGGCAGCUGAAGCGCGUCUAGAAACGAAAUUUUGUAAUUCUUGAGAUUUUGAGGGGUUGGGGUGUGUGGUUUUAUCAACUUGCUACUGAUUUUGUUCAUCUUUGUUUUUUCAGUCACCAGUAAUGGAGUUGAUACACACAAAAUUAGUAUUCUAUAUAUAAGCAAUUCUAAAUUUAUCGAAUGAGUUUCAACAUCCCACUGUUAUAUUUAAUUUGGAGUCAACUUGUGAAUAGUCUUAUCAAUAUUUGACCUCCGAUCUAAGAAAACACAAAUUUUGAUUUUUUACAAUUUAUGUUUGUUUUGCCACAAAUAAGGGUGGACCGAAUUUGGGUUUACACGCGUGUUAGGCUUCGGGUUCGGGUUGGAGCGCACGGGUUGUGAUGAUAUAGUUGAUACAAAUGGAUAAAUUCGUGUUAAUUGUGUAAUUCAUUAGGCAUUAUUGAUUUCAAGAAGCUAUUAAUUAUUUUGAAAGAAUUAGGUAUGUAGGCUAUAAAUGAAUACAUAACUCCACAUAAAAGAUUGUCAAACUAAUAAAUUAAUUUAAUUUGAAAAUUAACAGUUGAAAGUUGAAAGUUGAACAAAAAAAUUAGUACGAUUACUUGAUAGAAUUAAUUAGAUGAAUAGAAUUAAAUGAAAUAUCCUUUAUAUUGAUGUGUAACUUUUCUAUAUGAGUUGGUCUUUACAUGAGACUGGUCUCACUAGGAGCGAAUAAAUAAAAAGUAAUCUGCUACUCUACAAAUAACAUUUGUUAGCUCAGUGGUACGCUCAUUCAUCUAUCAUCUCUCGUUGGUUCAAUUCUUAGUUGCAACAAUAUUUUUUUACUUUUUUUAUAUAUAUUAUGAUAUUUAUUUAAACAUUACAUUUAUUCAUAUCAAUGGUUACCUUAUAUUACGAUAAUAAUUACUUGACCAAAUAAAUGAAAAGUACAAGUUCUCGUGGAUAAAAAAGAUAAUCAUCGCGGAAAAAUAAAAUUAUUUUUUCAUCACAAUAAUAAUUACUUUGAAUUAUCCGUAUUUUUCAACUGGCCUGAGACCCGCGACCUGCGCCCAGACCCCGCUGACCCGCGCCCCAACCCUUCCCCGACCCUCUCAUCCAUACACUCGAUAAGUCUCGCCCAUGUUUUUGCCUUUUUAUCCAAUCAAAUUAUUUAUGUAAUUUAACUUUACUAAUUUUAUUUUCGUAGAAGGAUAACAAUACUAUUAUUUGAUAUUAUUUAUCUAACUAAAAAAUAAUUCCUCAAUGUGUUUAUGUAUUUUUCGAAUCUUUUUGUGUAUAUAGAUUUAGAUUUUAGUAGGACUUAAUAACAUACUUCGUUCAAUUUUUCUUUAUAAAUUUAUUGAAUUUAUAUAGUAAAUUUGUUUAAAAAAAUUAAUAAGUCUUGGAUUUAAAUAAUAGAUUUAUAUGUGAUAAAUAUAGAUAAAAUCGAACUUGUUUAGAAUUGUGAUUGUAGUUGAAUUCUUUUAUGUUCAUUAUUAUGACAAUAAUCAACUAAAUAAAAAAGAUUAGAAUAAUAAUAAUAAUAAUAUGAUACUCCCUCCGUCCCAGCUUUUAGUAUUCAACUUUCCUUUUUUGGUCGUCCCACAUUUUAGUAUCCAUUUAUAUUUUUGGUAAAAGUUGGUGGGGCCCUUACUCCACUUUAAUUAUUUUAACUCUCACAUAAAAAUGUGAGACCCUUAUUCCACUCACAGCACAUCAAUCACUUUAUUAAAACUCGUGCCGUUCUCAAGUGGAUACCAAAAGCCGGGACGGAGGGAGUAUUAUACUAUUGUCCUUAAAAUAGAUUAAGAAAUAGGGACAUAUUAGGCAAAUCAAAUUUUGUAAAACAAGGCUCUUUUAUAAUAGGUAUAUAUAGAUUAACAAGGUUUCACUCAUUGAAUUAGAAUUGUAAUCACUUUUUUAUAUUUAUUUGAAUUAAUAAUGAAUAUUUUGGUUAAUUAAUUCAAAACUAGGGUAUAAAUUUUUUAAAAAUUUUAAUUUUUAGUGAUAAAUAUUAUUAGAGUUCAUUAUAUAAUAAUAUUUUUAAUUUUUAUAUAGCCCAACUCAAUCUUAAGUAAUCUUGGACUAAUUUAAUCUCGGCAACAAAACGCCCCUUAGAGAUUACAGUAUUUAUUUAUGAUAAUGAAAACCUAAUGGGCUAGAGCAUAAAUAUUGGACCCAAGCUAGACAUUGGGUUGGGCGUAUCAUAUCCCCAUAUUGGAUCUAGACAAAUUAAUUAAUUAUUCGAUAAUUGCAAUUGACAUUCAACGACAACAAUUCCAACAAUUUAAAAGUAGAAUAUUCCUAAACCAUGAAGUCAUUCAUGAGCUAGGACAUGAAAAUCUUCAUCUCCUCAUCUUGCACAAAGCAACACAUCUCAUUUUCCUUCAACAUCACCAUCGCCUCAAUCCCAUCACCCUCUUUGUUUCUCAUGAGCUUCACAAUGUUGCCAAGCGGCUGCUGCGGCCCGAUGCCGCUCCAAACCGGCUUCCCCCACCCGAAAUCAGCUUCGUCGAAUCGAAACCUAGUCAAAUCCGAGAGUAUGAUGAGAUUGGUUUCAGCUCUGUAUCCGUGUUUGAUCAAGUUUUUCACAGUGUUUGUGAUGAUUCCGCGCCCGUCCCUUUCAGGCGACAGGAUCUCAACAUGAGCAGCUAUGGCGUCUCGAACAGAAUCCCCCAACAGUCGAACAAGUUCAUCGACACCAACGUCGUCGCCGCCUUCUAUCCGCCGCGUGAUUGUCGGGAUCACGAAAUUCCCGCACGCGUCUCUCGACUGAGGUGGGAUUGUUCUCUCCCGCAUGUUAACCGCUUGAAACACGACGGAGCCUCGGCCGCCGCCGUGGACGGCGCGGUCCACCCGGAUCAGGGCUCUGGCUAUGACGGCACACACAACACGCACUCCGGAGACCGGUUUUCCGGUUACUCUGGAUUUGAGGCCGGUUAAGGCCUCGUUGCUGAACAAAAGCCUUUUCAAAACAAACUUUUGGUCCGGUCCGGGCGGACCGGUUCUGGGCGCCCGCGGUCCGCCCAGAUCCGCGGCCAACUCCUCGCGGCUCUUGGAUGGGAGCAGCGAGGGGAGGUGAAAAGACGGCCGGGGGAUUAUUCUCCCGGCCGUCCCAUCAUCCGGAUUGGCCGCGGUCGACCAGGCGGCGACGAACGUCUCCAGCGACGACGCGUCGAAAACCCUAUGCGAAACGCUGAUGGCGACAGCGGCGCCGCCGCACGAGAAGCGUGUGAUCUGGAUUGAGAGGAGUGGAUUAUCGGGAGCUUCGUCGAAUCGGAAGUGUUGCUCCGGGAGGAGGUCGUUGAGCCGAUCGAUCUCGAUUUUCGUGACGAGGUCGAUCAGCUCGACGUCGGCCGGAGCUUCUGCUUCGACGAGCUCGGCUCCUUGAUCGCUGCAAUCGACCAAACUAUCAUUCUUGAUGAAUCUUCCUGCAAGAGGGUAGAAAUCAACCAAGAUUCUGGCCAGUGAUUCUUCCAACUGGCCAGAAUCUUCAGGUUUGGAUUCGUAAAACAAAAAAACACAAAUAUUCUUGGGCAGCUGAAACCCAUCUAGAAACGAAAUUUUGUAAUUUUUUAGGGUUUGCGGAGUUGGGGUGUUUGGUUUUAUCAAUUUCCUGCUAAUUUUGUUCAUCUUCAAAUUUUUUUUUUUUAUUAAACUAGGUCUGGCCACUGCUUCUGACAAUUGCAACUAUUUGAGGGAAGCUCAUAUUUCUUUGGCCUAAUUGAUUGGUGGGACACUCUUGAUUUGCUUGUGAAAGUGAAGUAAAUUACUCUCUUCAUCCUCGGAAAAAAAAAUUAUACUUACUCCUUUUU